GAUGAAGAACGUAGCGAAAUGCGAUAAGUAAUGUGAAUUGCAGAAUUCAGUGAAUCAUCGAAUCUUUGAACGCACAUUGCGCCCGUCAGUAUUCUGGCGGGCAUGCCUGUUCGAGCGUCAUUACGCCCCUCAAGCCCCCGGGCUUGGUGUUGGGGAUCGGCGAGCCUCCGCGCCCGCCGUCCCCUAAAUCUAGUGGCGGUCUCGCUGUAGCUUCCUCUGCGUAGUAGCACACCUCGCACUGGGAAACAGCGCGGCCACGCCGUUAAACCCCCAACUUCUGAACGUUUGACCUCGGAUCAGGUAGGAAUACCCGCUGAACUUAAGCAUAUCAAUAAGCGGAGGA
rnacentral:misc_RNA from 1 species